rnacentral:tRNA from 1 species
UCCAGGGUAGCCUAGUGGACAUGGCAUCUUCUCGGUAAGCGGAACACUGUGGGUUCGAUUCCCAUCCCUUGAAA